rnacentral:rRNA from 1 species
AGCCUGGUGCUUGCACCGGGUGGAUGAGUGGCGAACCCCCUCUAAGGGCGUGAGUAACCUGCCCCUGACUUCGGGAUAAGCCCUUGUAAACUGGGUCUAAUACCGGAUACGACUGCCGGACGCAUGUCUGGUGGUGGAAAGUUUUUUCGGUUGGGGAUGGGCUCGCGGCCUAUCAGUUUGUUGGUGAGGUAAUGGCUCACCAAGACGACGACGGGUAGCCGGCCUGAGAGGGCGACCGGCCACACUGGGACUGAGACACGGCCCAGACUCCUACGGGAGGCAGCAGUGGGGAAUAUUGCACAAUGGGGGAAACCCUGAUGCAGCGACGCAGCGUGCGGGAUGACGGCCUUCGGGUUGUAAACCGCUUUCAGCAGGGAAGAAGCGCAAGUGACGGUACCUGCAGAAGAAGUACCGGCUAACUACGUGCCAGCAGCCGCGGUAAUACGUAGGGUACGAGCGUUGUCCGGAAUUAUUGGGCGUAAAGAGCUCGUAGGUGGUUGGUCACGUCUGCUGUGGAAACGCAACGCUUAACGUUGCGCGUGCAGUGGGUACGGGCUGACUAGAGUGCAGUAGGGGAGUCUGGAAUUCCUGGUGUAGCGGUGAAAUGCGCAGAUAUCAGGAGGAACACCGGUGGCGAAGGCGGGACUCUGGGCUGUAACUGACACUGAGGAGCGAAAGCAUGGGGAGCGAACAGGAUUAGAUACCCUGGUAGUCCAUGCCGUAAACGUUGGGCACUAGGUGUGGGGGGCAUUCCACGUUCUCCGCGCCGUAGCUAACGCAUUACGUGCCGCGCCUGGGGAGUACGGUCGCAAGGCUAAAACUCAAAGGAAUUGACCGGGGCCCGCACAAGCGGCGGAGCAUGCGGAUUAAUUCCAUGCAACGCGAAGAACCUUACCAAGGCUUGACCUACACCGGAACCGUCCUGCAAACAAGGUCCUCUUCUUUGAAGCUGGUGUACAG